GAUGAACGCUGGCGGCGUGCCUAAUACAUGCAAGUUGAGCGAACAGACGAGGUGCUUGCUCCACUGACGUUAGCGGCGGACGGGUGAGUAACACGUGGAUAACCUACCUAUAAGACUGGGAUAACUUCGGGAAACCGGAGCUAAUACCGCAUAAUAUCUUGAAACGCAAGGUUCAAUAGUGAAAGACGGUAUUGCUGUCCUCUAUGGAUAGAUCCGCGUCGCAUUAGUAAGUUGGUAAGGUAACGGCUUACCAAGGCAACGAUGAGUACCCGACCUGGGAGGGUGAUCGGCCACACUGGAACUGGGACAGGGUCCAGACUCCUACGGGAGGCAGCGGUAGGGAAUCUUGCGCAAGGGGCGAAAGCUUGACGGAGCAACGCGGGGGAGGGGAUGAAGUUCUUCGGUUCUUAAAACUCUUUUAUUAGGGAGGAAGAAAUUUGUAAGUAACUAUUCACGUCGUGACGGUACCUAAUCAGAAAGCCACGGCUAACUACGUG
rnacentral:rRNA from 1 species